rnacentral:rRNA from 1 species
GGGUUAGUAGGUUGGUCAUGCCUCUGGUACGUACUGGUAUUAUUGGUUUCUCCUUUCUGACGAAUCAUAAUGCCAUUAAUUUGGUGUCGUGGGGAAUCAGGACUGUUACUUUGAAAAAAUUAGAGUGUUUAAAGCAGGCUAACGCUUGAAUACAUUAGCAUGGAAUAAUGAAAUAGGACGUUCGAUCCUAUUUUGUUGGUCUCUAGGAUUGACGUA